AUAACAUUAAUUUGUCAAAUUAAAAUUAUCAAAUAAAUAUUUCUUA
rnacentral:tRNA from 1 species